GUGCACUAUAGAACAGGCAAAGAGUACAUUUCACGCGCACCUAAAUUAUUAAGCUUAAGGACGGAGCAUGCUGCAAAAGGCGAUAUUAUUAGCCCUAUUUGUAAUGUUAAGCCCGGGUCUUUGGCUGCCAGUACGCAUUUCCACCGUUGUCCACGUGCAUUCCUUGAGCAUAAGAGAGUUUGUAAACACCUGGGAACCCAUAUGGACCUACAAAACUACUGGGAUACCACAAAUACGCUGCCUGUAUCAUCUAAUGCGUUCCAUACACCCAAUGUUCAUUGAGUUCAACACAACGCACUUAUAUCGUCACCGAGUCGUUCGCGUCGCACAACGGGGACAGUUUAAUACGGCGUUGGCGGAACGGAUGACUAUCACCGAGCUGGGUGGGUUACAAAUGUCUGUUGAAUAUUUGUUGUACAAGGCUCCGGAUUCUUCGUGCGCCGUUGUAAAAGUGCGGUCUUCUUUCCAUCGUGACGAGCAUGGUCGUCUCAUCGAUGCAAGCCGUAAUAUGUACUCAGAGCGAGAAAGUUUGUGACACGCCUCUACCAACGAGCCAGACAAAGGGUCGUAUGCGUAUCCUGGAUCAAUACGAUCUCCGUGUGAGAAAUUCUUCUGUCACAGCUGGCCCUCACCGAAAGUGCGAAAGAUGGUUCUCUCAAGUCGCGCCUUUCGGCAGAAUCAUCUAUAAUAGAAAUUGUGAACGCUUACUUCACCCACGGGAGUGAUUACGUAUCAGCAUUCGUACAAUCCAUCAUUUGCCAGUUAACAUUCAUUUGAAUGUGGUGGAACUGUUAACUGGUGUCAUAUAAACGUAAAGUGUCAGGCUUGCAAUAAAAAAAAAUACACUUCCCUGUCCCUGGUGCCGUACAAAUAUCCCAUCACCAAUCCCAAUAAUACUCCAUCACCGAGCGGGAGAGUACGUCCAUCUUUGUAUGGACGCACGUUUUCGGUGGCUACAGA